CGCCUCUCUUGUAGAAUGGAAGAUAUUGGCAUAGCUUGCCAAGAUGCCUGGAAUGGCUUUCCAUCAAAAAGACCUGUUAUCGAGAUGACAAUUCCUUCUGCUCUGGACAAAACUGUAUCUCCACCUGGUAUUGUAAAUUUAUUCUCCAUAUUUUCCCUCAGUCACCCUUCCUCCUUCGUUGUAUCCACCUCAAGGUGAGGAAUAUUCAUAUCCGGUCCCAAAG
rnacentral:misc_RNA from 1 species